AUGGCCAAAAUAGAUGAGGUGCUUAAGGUAUCCCCCUGUGAAACUCCUCCUGGCCGUGACAUCCUUCCAUUUUUAUCCGAAAGACCACUGUUGGAAGAUCCACAUCAGAUCAGAGUCCGUGGCCUUGCCAAGAAGGCCCAGACUGACCUGUCACUGGUGGAGGAGUUUAAAAUGGUUGCUUUAAGCACAGUAAAGGGAGAACGCCUCAGAAUACCUUUCGACAUCAACAAUUCCCAGACUGCCAAAGAGACCUGCGUUGCUGAGGAGCUUGGCAAGAUAUCAGAACAGCCAGCUCCUCCAGUGCUCUCCUUGACAGAGCCCGUGAAGCCGACAGUGAUGGAGGCUUCAAUGAACAGCUGCCCAGGACACCUGCUGCCUCAUAUACGUCAGCCCAGACCAAAGGCCUCAUAUAGCAGAAGGAUCACGAAUGGGGCCAUAGAGGUGAGGAAGGGUUCGGGAUUCCAGGUCGUCCGUAAGAUCGCUCACGUGAGGCAGGAGCCCUUUACCACCAGCGAAGAAAGUCCCAGCAAGUGCAAUUUUCCACCCCAGAGUGAAGGCUCCUUAAUAAAACCUCAUCAUUCUCAGUGUAUGAAACUGCAAAUGGAGGAGAAGAUCCCGGAAAUGAAGAGCUUCCCUAAGGAGGCUUGGGCAGGAGGAAAUAAAAGAGAGAAAAAGUCAAGAAACCGAAGCCUUGACAUCUCAAGCUUUAAAUCCGAUCUCCCACCAGCUAAUGAAAAGAAUGAAGACAGUGAAAUCAAUGUCUCUCCAAAACCCACAACGAUUAGUACAGAACUGAAGGAUCCUUCAGCAAUUGAAAGCAUCAGUGCCCAACCGGGAAAAAGAGAAGUCAAGGAAGUUGAAAAGGAACAGGAUCGUACUUGCAGGGAGAAGCUGCUUAGGAAAACUUGCUUUAUGAACAUAAAAGGAAGCGAAAAGAAAUUUAAAAGAGACUCAGAGAAUGCCUCUCAAUUGUCAAAUAAAAUACAGCAGAAGAAUAAUGAGGGCUCUGCUCCAGAGAAGCCUUCAUGCAAUCAAGGGAGACUUACUGCAGAGAGAGAAGAGGGAAGCUGUACCUCCUGCUUUGCUUUUUUACAACUUUUUAUGAGGAAGAGAAGGUGAAGGGACUGCAGUGACACUGGCAGCAUCUUCAAUAUUCUUUCAUUUCAAUGUUAACCCAAAGAAAAGGGUUGAAAGUAUAAAAUACAUCUGCCUUACCCCAUUUCUUUUAAUUCACAGAGACUAAAUAAAUCCUUUAACUGUUAACAUAAUGGUGUUUGUGUGCUGCUUAAUAUUUGAUUAGGAAAUACAGUAUUUUGGAGAGUCCUACAGUAUGCCCAUUCACAUCUUAUCAUUUUUAACUCUUGGAUAACAGCAAUGUCACUGUUUAUAACUUUCCUUUAACAAUGCAAAAUUUUAAAUACCUUAAUACUGCAAAACAUUUCUCAUCAAAAGUAACCUACCCUGUCCCCUUUCCUGGUUAAUUAGGAUAUAUCAUUUCUACAUUAUUUUGUGACAUNNNNNNNNNNNNNNNNNNNNNNNNNNNNNNNNNNNNNNNNNNNNNNNNNNNNNNNNNNNNNNNNNNNNNNNNNNNNNNNNNNNNNNNNNNNNNNNNNNNNAAGCCGUAAUCUGAUCGAACUCAACCACCUCAUCCACGACUGUAAACAAUAAACAUGCAUAUUGUUGUAAUUUUGCUUAUAGUAUUCAAAUUUGGACAAGAAAUCCUCCUGCUUCAUACUAUUCUAACAGAAAAAACCUUGAAGAUCAGUGCCACCCAGCUCAGUUUUGCCCCAUGAAAAAAAGCAAGUGUAAAAUGCCACUAAAAGAGUGCAGUAAGUGUACCAAUUGAGCCCAAUUUCAGCAGUAUUUGCCCAUCUUGAAAGCUACUUUGAAAUUUCAGCCUUGCAACAGCUAUAGAAGAAAACAUUUCCAAUUUAUCUUCAGAGGAAUAGUAAUGAUUUUUUAAAGAGACUGAAUGUGUUUAUUUACCUUGAACAAUUAAAUAACUAUGUAUUUUUUAGAGAGAAUUCAAAGUUGGGUUUCCUGACCUUUCAGAUGUACGGUAUAUUUUGCGGCAGGCCUGAGAAGACUAGCACAGAGAUUAUCUGUAUUACGAUAUAAUAGACAUUUGUUAAUGUCCUCCUCGUCUAAUUACUAAUUUCAUUACUUUAUCACCAAAUGACAAUGAGAGCAAAAAUAUAUUGGAUAUUUUUGUACAAGACACUUGGCAGAGUCUUAGGUGCAUCUUGUCUCUUCUCCUUUUUAGUGAUCUUCAUGGACAUUAUAUCAAGGGGCAGCUGGGAUUUGGAGUGUAUCCACUUUAUGGACCUGAGGGUUGCAUCUCUGGUGUUUAAGGAUGAUGUUGUCUCCUUUGCCUCAUCUGACUGUGAUCUUCAGUGGGCAUUUGCAAGAUUUGCAGCUGAGUGCGAUGCGGUCGGGAUGAGGAAUAGCACCUCCAAUUAUGAGGUCAUGGUUUGCUCUCUCCAGGUGAAGGCAGCUGCCACAAGUGGUGAAAUUUAAGUAAGAGGGUUUUGUUCACGAGUGAGAGUAUAGAGGAUCAUGAGAGGCUGCAGUCAUCCAGAUGCUUUGCCGAACUGCGGUGGUGAAGUGUGAGCUUAGUUUCUGGAUGAAGCUCUUGGUUUUCCAGUCGAUCUAUGUCCCAACGCCCACCUAUGGUCACGAGUUUUGGGUAGUGACUGAAAGAAUAAGAUUGCGAGUACAAGAAAUGGAAAUGAGAUUUCUCCAUAGGGAUGUUGGGCUUAACUCUCAGUGACAGGGAGAGGAGCUCAGAAGUCCAGGAGGUCCAUGGAGCACAGUUGCUGCUCCUCUGGAUCAAGAUGAGCCAGUUGAAAUAGUUCAGACAUCUAUCAUGAAUGCACUCUGGGGUAUACCAGGCAUGACUCAUUGGGAAGAGACCCCGGGCAGAUCAACGUCACUCUGAAGGGAUUAUAUCUGAAGGAGACGGAGACUGGUAACGGGGAUAGGGAAGUCUGGUGUGCCCUACUAAGCUUGCUACCACUGCAGCCCUCAUCAGGAGUACCCAGGGGGAAAAUGGAUGGAUGAAUUUGUCUACAAAUGUCUUUUUUUAGGUUGGGCUUCAAAGGUAAAUUAUAAUCCAUCAGAAAUACAGCAACUUGUUUAUGUUGCUGGUUUAUGUCAUUUUCAUUUGUAAACUUGCUGAUGAGGUGGGUGAGUGGUUAAGGCAAUGGACUGCUAAUCCAUUGUGCACUGCAAGCGUGGGUUUGAAUCCCAUCCUUGUCGAGGGAUUUUGUAUGCCAGCAGCUACUGUAUUUCACCCUGCAGCUUACAACUGGAAACCCACUGAACCUCAGCAGGUGUGAGCCCGGAUGUGAGACUUCCUGGGUAAAACUAAGCUUGCUGCUGGAAGUGGUGUUAGUGGGGCCAGCAGGGGGCACUCAGUACUGGCGCCAGUACUCUGUUCUCCUCCCCACUGAUGUGUGGUGACUGUUCUGGCACACUAUGGCUGCCAUCAUAUCAUCCAGGUGUGGCUGCACAAAGCUGGUGAUGGAGGGGAGUCCCCGUUAUUUGUAAAGCACUUUGAGUGGAGUGUCCAGAAAAGUGCUAUAUAAGUAUAAGCAAUUAUUAACUAAAAUUAGGCAGAAUACAUUGACAAAUCUUGAAUGUUAACUGGCCUGUGAUGAAGUAUGUUUC
rnacentral:tRNA from 1 species